UGCUGGUGUAAAACUGUGGCUCUGCGGCUCUGCAGACAGAUAUUAUUGGCAAGGCGCACGUGUCGGAUUCUGCAGUCGCGCGCAGUUGCUCUCCACCGACUGCGCUAAUCAAAAGUUGUGUUCGACAUCGGCUGCUGCUGGAUGUAACCGAUCUGCGAGAGUUGCCGCGUGCAGGCGGGGAGGAUCUGCAAACGGAGAUAUGAAGCCGGACACGUUGUGGCUCCCGUAGUUUGCUGCAAUUACGUCAGUCAUGGCAGAUCACGUGGUGUUUGCUUGCUUUAUCGCAGACGAGCUGGAAGCGAUAGAAAUUCCAUUAUUUUUGCAUGACAUUGGGCACAAUGAGCAACGAAGAAUGGUUCCAAAAAUAGACAAUUUUGUGGAGGAUGUUGUCCCUCUCUACAGUCUCUCAGAAUUUAGAGGUCAUUUCAGGCUUUCCAAAGAACAAGUGGAGGAUGUCAUUACUACCCUAUGAAUUUACAACAGACUAGACUUCCACUCACAAACAGUGUUCUUGCCUGCCUUUGGACAUUGGCGAAUCAGGAGUCAUAUCGUGGGGUGGCAGAUAGAUUCAACAUGUCAAAAUCCACUCUUGCCAAGCAUCUCCAUGAGUUUUGUUGCAAUGUGAACACAUACAUGGCCCACCACAUUUCCUGGCCCAGAGGUCAAAGACUGGAGAUGUCAAAGUUAGGGUUUGACGCAGCAGGUUUCCCCAACACUGUAUGUGCAGUGGAUGGGUGUCACAUUCCUAUACUGAGACCCCACUGUGAUAAUCCCCUAGCAUACAUGAAUAGGAAACAGUUAUAUUCUGUAAAUUUAACUGGGUUUUGUGACAAU